rnacentral:sRNA from 2 species
UCCCCAGCAGUCAUUGUCAUAAUAAUCCGUUUCGCCGCAAUGUGUAACAAAGCCCUAAGACAACGCGAUCAUUGAAAUGAGAUCUUGAGGUUAUAUUCUCUCUGAUAUUUGGUUCGCCUGAUGCUAUUUUUGUUCUCGUCGAAGUGCGUAACUUUCCAUUCUUUCCAUACCAAGAACUAAUUACAACACGGUCACCAGAAUCCGCGCUAAAACGAUACAGUACCGAUACGUCAAUCGUUUUUCGGCACAGUACUUUGCGAACGGAAUAUAAAAUACGUCCCUGCAAAUUGGUCUCAGGUCCUGUCCUCGCAAAUCUCGGAUGGUUGUAGGGAAACGGGCACAGCUAUUAGUAUUACUCCAUACGCCGUACGCGUGUGUCUUGUAAAUCCGGGGUAGAACCAAAUCCAUAGAUCUCGAACUGCGAAAGAAAUCAGAACGGCGA